AUUGAACGCUGGCGGCAGGCCUAACACAUGCAAGUCGAACGAGUGGCGGAAGGGUGAGUAAUGUCUGGGAAAGUGCCUGAUGGAGGGGGAUAACUACUGGAAACGGUAGCUAAUACCGCAUACCAUCGGAUGGGACCAGAUGGGAUUAGCUAGUAGGUGGGGUAACGGCUCAACUAGGCGACGAUCCCUAGCUGGUCGGAGAGGAUGACCAGCCACACUGGAACUGAGACACGGUCCAGCCGCCUACGGGAGGCAGCAGUGGGGAAUAUUGCACAAGGGGCGCAAGCCUGAUGCAGCCAUGCCGCGUGUAUGAAGAAGGCCUUCGGGUUGUAAAGUACUUUCAGCGGGGAGGCGUUACCCGCAGAAGAAGCACCGGCUAACUCCGUGCCAGCAGCCGCGGUAAUUC
rnacentral:rRNA from 1 species